UUGGUGGGGGUUGUGAGGGGCUGUAAGCUAGCAGAACAGCAUGUAAACAGAAGGAUAAUGGGAAGGCUUACUCUCCACCAACUGUCCUGCCCAGUCCCGUCGCAGAAAACAACACAGGUUUUUUGAUUUUUCCUAAAAAUGUCAAUGUUAUACUUAAAGAACCCUGGGAACAUUUUUAAAAUAGAUUUAGAACAGAUUAAGAUGAUUGGAGUGCGACAUAAAAGAGUUUUGUUACAUCAAAGAACAAAACUGUGGUAAAUCAGAUCUGUUUUUCUUCUUGUUCUUUGCCAAACCUCACAUUUUAUUGCAUUGAUUGCUUUAUUAAGUGUUUUGAAAGCUGGAAACCGAGAGCUGCUUAUUUUGAGAGGAGGCGAGACUUGAAAAAAUGGGUAGCAGAUGGAACGUCUUUGAUCACUAAAACCAGCUGCCAUGACCAGUAGUGAUGGAGGACCCAAAAGAAGGGGAGUUAAUGGAAACUAAAACAGUCAAUUUACCAAACCUCCACUUGACUUAAGAUGUUUUACCCAAAGACUGCACAAAACAUGGCAAACACAAGGGCCAAAAAAGGCGUAACUUUAGACACAACGUAGACAUAAAACAAAAAGUAAACUAAAACAAAAAAAAGCAAUCUAAUGAUUAAAAUAUGUCACCAACAUCUUGAAAACUAGUGUUGAAAAGGCACUUUUGAUUUUUCUUAUAUAAAAACAGCAUUCUUUAUAUUUUCAACAGUAAAUAUAUGGAUGAUUACGGCUAGAUACAGUACAGACAGAACGUUUGGAGACACCUUCCCAUUCCAAUAAAUGAAAAGGUGUGUCCAAACUUUUGGUCUGUGCUGUAUAUGGGAAAACCUGUACGAGGGCCAAUGGCCCGCACAAAACAUCAAGAUCGUAGAGUGCUUGGAUAUCUCUUAGAGCGAAAAUGUUCAUGCACAUUUUUUUCUGUGGGCAUGUUGCAGGUGACAGGUUGUAGGGAACAAUGAAACAACAUGCAAGGGUAAGUAAGUAGGUGUCUGCAGCACGUAUCUAUCUGCAUUCAGAUCUUAUUCCUGUUAUCUCAGUCUAUACACACCCAAGCAGAAGUGAAUCCGUGGAAGAUGCGCUGUGUAAACCAUCGAAACAAUGCUGUGAAAAGCAGGCAUACAGCUGCGAGUCUUAUCGUGGCAUCAUAUAAAUAAACUCACUGUUAAACAAUGCCUUCUUCACUGUCAGUGAUGGUCAACGGGGUUGACAUCGCUGUUGACAGUAGGUCCAUUCUUCGCCUAAGGGGAUUGUGAAACCCGACAAACUGCACCACCGCAAAACAGUGACGGUUUCAUUAUAGACUCCACCUAAACAAACAAAGUGCAAGAUAUCAGGCGGUAUUUAUGUUUAUGUAAUGAUGUCCAGGAAACAAAGCAAAUGGGUUUUUUGUUUCUUGUUACUGGCAAAAUAACAGAGCUGAGAGAUACAAAUAGAGAAGACAAUAGUUCACUGAAUGGAGCAUGGCCAUUUGCUCAUAAGAUGGCUUUUAACAAGGCUUAGUCUUGGAUGCAGGAAGGAUAUUAAAGCUUUUUUCCCAGAGUUGACAGAAGAAUACAGGGAAGUGGGUUGACCCAGUGGUUUUGAGCAAUAGUAGUACAGGAAGUGUAAGAGUGCCAGGCAUCCAUUCAGACCAGCACUGUUAUGAUGGGCGAGAUGAUGGUGAGGCACAAAGCAAGUAGCUUUUCAAGGUUGAUUUGAAGUUUCAGUAUUGUAAUAGUGGCUCAGGGCAGCGUCUCUUAACUGAACUACGGUUGAACAUAUCUAUUGUUAAUAGUGUUUUUUUUUUACUUAUUGUUUUUAUUAGUAGCUCAUUUCUUCUCACUGCAUUUCAUUAAUGUCAGUUCUUGAUGCAUAAGCUUGCUGAUCUGUUCUAACUUAGUUCUGGUUUAUUUCAAUUUUUUCAUAGCAACAGCUGUUAUUACACUUUAUAAAUGCAAAGAACUGACUUUUCUAGAUUAUUUCAUUUUUAAUAAAAAUCUUCUUGGAAAUAAACUAUUUACUAAUGGAAAUUUUUUUUUUAUUUUUAUUUCAUAAUUAUAUCACUUUGUAAAGGACACACAUUAGUGUGAUGUACAGCAGAGCAAAGUAUGUUGGUUGCUUACAUCACUGUUUUGGAUUGUUUGGGUAGACAGCUGAAAAUCAUGUCUUGAAAACCUUGACAACAAGUUUGUAAAAAACAAAAAAACAAACAGCUAAUAGUGCCCAAGUGCUGAUAUUAAGAGGAAGAAAAGUUCUUAUUGUUCAUUAUUAUUUCGUGGGAUGCCCACUUUCCCCACUGUUUCUGAGAACCCUGUUACUCAGAACCUAUACUCAAUGGUUUGCAGUGACCUGUUCUUCAGAGUUCCCAAAGCUGCCCAUUAGAGCUCAUAGCAGGGAACUGAUGGCUACCAGGAACUCUAAAUGAGCCAACAACAAGGUUUUACAGUCAUCCAGCCUGAGGAGGGCUGCAGACAGCGGCCACAUCUCAAGGGGAGAGCAGGUGGGUCGUUCAGUUCCCUUAAGGUUUCAUUCAUUGAAUCCAGGCUUCCCUCACCACUUGUUGCUUGCUGCAGCUGCUACACGUUCUCCUCAUGAUUAAGUCUAUCGUCAUUCCUGGUGAUCCCUUUGCCCUGCUCAGCCGGACUCCCCCGCUGCCGUCCAGAUCUCCACAUGGCUGGAUUCCUUUUCUGUGACACACACAAACUACCCAAGAGGAAGUCUUAACCAAACUUGGUGUUUUUCCAAUAAGCACAGCCAUCACUGCGUAAACAGCCUCACGCUUGCAAUUUAUUCCAACUUCUUUUUUCUAAGUGUCACAAUGGAAGACCUUAAAUUCUGUCUAAAUGUGUAUCUGAUAAGUUUCAGAUUGUAAACUAGAAGCAUCUUUAAAUGUAAUCACAAUCAAA